ACCCCUACGGGGGGCAGCAGUGGGGAAUAUUGGACAAUGGGGGCAACCCUGAUCCAGCAAUGCCGCGUGUGUGAAGAAGGCCUGCGGGUUGUAAAGCACUUUCAGUAGAGAGGAAAAGUAGAUUGUGAAUAAUGAUCUACCUUGACGUUACCUACAGAAGAAGCACCGGCUAACUCUGUGCCAGCAGCCGCGGUAA
rnacentral:rRNA from 1 species